rnacentral:rRNA from 1 species
CCUACGGGUGGCAGCAGUGAGGAAUAUUGGUCAAUGGCCGCGGGUCUGAACCAGCCAAGUAGCGUGAAGGAUGACUGCCCUAUGGGUUGUAAACUUCUUUUAUAUGGGAAUAAAAUGUUCCACGUGUGGGGUUUUGUGUGUACCUUAUGAAAAAGAAUCGGCUAACUCCGUGCCAGCAGCCGCGGUAAUACGGAGGAUCCGAGCGUUAUCCGGAUUUAUUGGGUUUAAAGGGAGCGUAGGUGGAUUGUUAAGUCAGUGGUGAAAGUUUGCGGCUCAACCGUAAAAGUGCAGUUGAAACUGGCAGUCUUGAGUACAGUAGAGGUGUGCGGAAUUCGUGGUGUAGCGGUGAAAUGCUUAGAUAUCACGAAGAACUCCGAUUGCGAAGGCAGCUCACUGGACUGCAACUGACACUGAGGCUCGAAAGUGUGGGUAUCAAACAGGAUUAGAUACCCUUGUAGUC